AUUGAACGCUGGCGGCAUGCCUUACACAUGCAAGUCGAACGGUAACGGGCCUUCGGGUGCCGACGAGUGGCGAACGGGUGAGUAAUACAUCGGAACGUGCCCGAUCGUGGGGGAUAACGAGGCGAAAGCUUUGCUAAUACCGCAUACGAUCUACGGAUGAAAGCAGGGGACCGCAAGGCCUUGCGCGGACGGAGCGGCCGAUGGCAGAUUAGGUAGUUGGUGGGAUAAAAGCUUACCAAGCCGACGAUCUGUAGCUGGUCUGAGAGGAUGAUCAGCCACACUGGGACUGAGACACGGCCCAGACUCCUACGGGAGGCAGCAGUGGGGAAUUUUGGACAAUGGGCGCAAGCCUGAUCCAACCAUGCCGCGUGCAGGAUGAAGGCCUUCGGGUUGUAAACUGCUUUUGUACGGAACGAAAAGCCUUCUUUUAAUACAGGAGGGUCAUGACGGUACCGUAAGAAUAAGCACCGGCUAACUACGUG
rnacentral:rRNA from 1 species